AGUGAACGCUGGCGGUAGGCCUAACACAUGCAAGUCGAACGGCAGCACAGCAUGAGCUUGCUCUUACGGGUGGCGAGUGGCGGACGGGUGAGGAAUACAUCGGAAUCUACUUUUUCGUGGGGGAUAACGUAGGGAAACUUACGCUAAUACCGCAUACGACCUACGGGUGAAAGCAGGGGAUCUUCGGACCUUGCGCGAUUGAAUGAGCCGACGUCGGAUUAGCUAGUUGGCGGGGUAAAGGCCCACCAAGGCGACGAUCCGUAGCUGGUCUGAGAGGAUGAUCAGCCACACUGGAACUGAGACACGGUCCAGACUCCUACGGGAGGCAGCAGUGGGGAAUAUUGGACAAUGGGCGCAAGCCUGAUCCAGCCAUACCGCGUGGGUGAAGAAGGCCUUCGGGUUGUAAAGCCCUUUUGUUGGGAAAGAAAAGCAGCAGGUUAAUACCCCGCUGUUCUGACGGUACCCAAAGAAUAAGCACCGGCUAACUUCGUG
rnacentral:rRNA from 1 species